rnacentral:tRNA from 1 species
CAGAGGAUAGUUUAAUGAAGAAUCUCAGCUUUGGGAGCUGGGGGUGGGAGUUUAAGUCUCUCUUCUCUGA